GACGAACGCUGGCGGCGUGCUUAACACAUGCAAGUCGAACGAGUGGCGAACGGGUGAGUAACACGUGGGUGAUCUGCCUUGCACUUCGGGAUAAGCUUGGGAAACUGGGUCUAAUACCGGAUAGUGCAAGAUGAGCUCGCGGCCUAUCCGCUUGUUGGGGGGGUAAUGGCUACAAAGGCGGGACGGGUAGCCGGCCUGAGAGGGUGGACGGCCACAUUGGGCCUGAGAUACGGCCCAGACGCCGACGGGAGGCAGCAGUGGGGAAUAUUGCACAAUGGGGGGAAGCCUGAUGAAGCGACGCCGCGUGGGGGAUGAAGGCCUUCGGGUUGUAAACGCCUUUCGACAGGGACGCGGUACCUGGAGAAGAAGCACCGGCUAACUACGUGCCAGCAGCCGCGGUAAUUC
rnacentral:rRNA from 1 species